GCCGAAGUAAACUACAUUUCUGAAGAUACAACAAUCUCUUGUGAAUGUAUGAAAAAAUUACUACAUACUACAGAAAUAAAACUUAAGAGGUUGUGAGUGCAUUGACAACAUGUCAUAAUCUGCUUUAAUACUAAAA